rnacentral:lncRNA from 1 species
GUCAGUGUAUGGAGUCUUAGGUUUCUGUUUUCCUGACUUUUCGCUUUUCUGAUGACCCUCUUGGUGCCUGGAAAGAAUGAUAAGGUCAUGGAUGGUGGGGUGGAGAAUGUCAUGUGAAUUGGCUGCCCUCUGCUUUCUACCAUUCUGAGCCAACAAUAAACUUCAGGAGCUGUGGACCAGAGAUGUGGCCAUCAGAGAGGGGAGGGCUGAGCUAGAUUGUUUGUAUGAAAGAGGCAAGAUUUUCUAUCUCCUAUGGCUAUAUUUUAUGUCACAGGCUCUCAGAGUUUAGAACCUCAUGUGCCCUCUCUCUUUGGCUUUUUUUCCUACUGCUCAGGGCCCAGCUGUGCUGCUGUGUUAACCUGGAGGCAUUAUGGAACAGGUAAGUAAGCCAUUGGCAUCCAUCCACUGGACAAGGCUUUGCUUUGAUCAACACCAUCAAUUGCAGCUGAUAAUAGGAACUAUGGGCUAAUGAGGGAAAUAAGACUUGGCUCUGUUGACAAGAGCCAGGGAAACUUCACACCUCUUCCUCUUGGAACUUGCAGGAUGAGGUUAGGCCAGUGGGGCCAAGGAAUGCUCCCACCUUGGAGAGCUCCCGCCCUGACAGUUGAGGGGGGAUUGAGGGGCGAGCAGGUGGGAUACAGACGCCUUUGGAAGUGACCUCUUGUGGCUAAUCUAGGCACUGCACUCUGCAUGGACAAGAGCUUCUCCAUCCUUCAAGGUGGCUUGUGCUAGAGCCAGGGGUAGGCAGCAUGAGUGGUCAAGACUUCCCUUUUGGAAGACUGUAGAAGCAGAAGGUGCUGGUUGCUGCUAUUAUUUCUUUCAUGGAUUUUUCUCUACUGGUUUCUGAGCUCCCAUAAUUUCCUGUUGCCUGCCUCUUGCUGUCACUCUUGGAGAGCAGCAAUGCAGGGCACACCUCUCAGCAUGGAAUGUGCAUACUGGGGGCCAACGCUGGGCACUUUCCAUCUUUGUAGGUGCUGGGGCCCAUAGGGAAGGGGCAAACUUGAGCACAUCCUCCCAGCCACCUUUUUCCAGAGCCCAUGGUUAGGGCCUUUGCCUAACUUAGGAUCCAAGCCCGUAAGCUGCAUUACCACUGCUCCUGACAAUCUAAGGGUUUUGUAAGGCCAAGCCAGAUUAGGGCUUCAUGUUUUGGGGAUCAGUCUCUGUUUCCUAUUCUAAUUUCCCAAGCCUUGCUUACUUAGAAAUAAGGGGAAGGAGAGAUGCAUCAGACUUCCUGAGCCUAGUUAGCAUUGAGAAGGGCAUCAGUGGCGUUGAGAAGGGAUUUGGGAGUGUGCCAGCCUGUAGUUCUGGACCUGGCAAAGAGGAGGAAAUAAGGCAUUGGGUGGAUGUGCAGUGGGGUUCCUGGGCUCCCACAUCCCUGUAACAUCAGCCAUUGGGGCCUCUGAUUUUGCCUGCUAUCUGUUGCACUGUCCCUUUUGGUACAGGGGACCCUGUUCAACUGCAUGCAAUAAUUUCUUUUAAAAUAAAAUCUGAGCACUUUGGGUGGCUGAGGUGGGAGGAUCACUUGAGCCCAGGAGUUGGAGACCAGCCUGGGCAACAUAGUAAGACCCCAUCUCUACAAUAAUUUUUUUUUAAAUUAGCCAUGUGUGGUGGCCUGCAUCUAUAGUCUUAACUAUUCAGGAGGCUGAGGUGGAUCACUUGAGCCUUGGAGGUUGAGGCUGCAGUGAACCGUGAUCCAGUCACUGCAUUCCACCCUGGUUGACAGAGUGAGACCCUAUCUCAAAAACAGUAGUAAUAAAAUAAAAUCUGAAGAUGAUUGAUUGGUGGGUCUAGCAUGCCUUCUGGUCCUGAAGUCCAUAUCCCAUUUAUCUCCCACCUCCCGUCCCUCCAAGAAAGCAUCAUUCACCUGGCCAUUGCUUUUUUUUUUUUUUUUUUUUUUUU